rnacentral:rRNA from 1 species
UACAGAGGAGCCAAGCGUUGUCCGGAUUGACUGGGCGUAAAGCGCACGCAGGCGGUCGCGCGCGUGGGGUGUGAAAUCUGGCCGCUUAACGGCCAGGCGCCAUCCCAUACGGCGCGACUGGAGUGAUGCAGAGGUCGAUGGAAUUGCCGGUGUAGUGGUGAAAUGCGUAGAGAUCGGCAGGAACACCCAGGGGGAAACCAGUCGACUGGGCAUCUACUGACGCUGAAGUGCGAGAGCGUGGGGAGCGAACCGG